AAGGGUUUUAAAGCCUUCUUUAAAAUCAUCCACAGUCUGUGGUGCCCUCAGGUGGUCAGGGAGAGCGUUCCACAGACUGGGAGCUGUGGAAUGUAACUGUUGAGCAAUGCUCUGAUUGGCUGAAGGGGAGUUUAAGUCUGGCUCUCCUGCACUGCUUCACCGAAGCCAUAGGUUGGUCUGGUCGUUGCUGUACUCCCAGUGCUGCACGUGCGGCUGCAACCUCAUGGCCCCCACCCUGCCAACACACACACACACACACAUUAACGUUAGCGGUGGAGGACGAUGCGUUCCAUUCAAGAUGUUUUUCUUCACUCUGAGAUGCCGUUGCAGUCGUUCAUGAUGACGGAAGACAGCGGCGGGCAGAGCCUCUCGAUGUAUUUGAUGGCGCGGUCGGUGAAGAGGGAGCCGCUCACGUCCAACUCCCGCAGCCUCCCAUCUUCAGCGUGAACAGACCUCUGCAGUAGAAGACGAAGGCUCUGAUGGCCUGGUCAGACAGCGCCAGACAGCCGGACACGUCCACGUACUCCAGCUCAGCCACGUACUUGCACAGGUUCUGCUCACAUUCAAUCAAGGGCUGAAUGACGGAUGGUUAGCCCGCUAAAAAGUAAGAAAUGGUGGUCAUGUCUUGGACGUGAGAGGCGUGUGAAGCUUACUUGUUUCCGAUCACGUUGACGGCCGAGUCUGUGAUCAGACAGCAGUGACUCACACUCAGCUUCUGCAACUUGCACGCCCAGGCGCUCUCGGCCAGGUGCUGGAUCCCCUUGUCCGUCACUCUGAAAGCAGGCAGGCGUCACCAACCCGUCACCCGCUCACACUCCCAGAACGAGGGCCACACAGACUUGGUACAGAGCGAGAUGUCCAAGGUCUGCAGGUUCCGCAGGGAAAGCAAACACUUGAGGCCCACGUCGGUCAUCCUCAGGCAGUCGACCACAUGGAGGGUGCGCAGGCUCCGUGAGCUGCAGCACAGCAACUUCCAGCUCACGUGGCUCACAUGCUUGUUCCCUGGAGGCGGCACACAAAAUGAGACGGGGGCGGGGGGGAGAGACACAAGGUCACUGCUCGCAGGGUUCUCACCCUCAAUGAUGAAAGUCUUCAGUUUGGCCACGUCGGCGAUGGCUGUCAUGCCGACGUCUGUCAGGUUCCUGGCCUCCACCAGCGAGAUGGAGGUCAGGUGGUGACAUUUGGACAUCAAGGCCUGGAAUGUGUAAACAUCUUAUGGUCACAUGACAACAACAAUAGUAGUGAGGAAUACACCGUAGGGCUGUCAUCUUUGGGCAACGAAUCCAUUCUCCAUUCAAAGACUUUUUUUAACACCAUUGGAUGCCAUCUUUAUAAUAAUAAUAAUAGAUUUUAUUUGUAAAAAGCACUUUACAUCGAGUAAACAACCUCAAAGUGCUACAGUGUAUUAAAAAAAUUAAAAUAUAUAUAAAAAAA